rnacentral:lncRNA from 1 species
UUCUCUUUUCACACUCACUAUAAUACAGUGAAUGCUCACAGUAAUCAGCUCUCUUUCAUAUGGGUUCUGCCUUUCACUGAACAUGAUUUCCAGUUGAUCAUAGAACAGGCACUGAACAGAAAUAAAAACUGGAGUGUGCAGGAUCAGUGGUUGGCAUCCAGGGGCAGGUUUGGUUCAUUAUCACGGGGACAACCUCAGAGACUUUGGCAUUCUGGGUGAAGGAAGAAAGAAGAGAAUAUACAUGGAAACCCAGGGAUUGUGGCAAAGAUGGAUGAUGGGAUGUCACUUCACUGAUUAAGUGCCAAAAGGUUGCAAUCUCCUCUUGCUAACAGACUCUCUGCCUUGCUGGCUUUGAUGAUGCAAUUUGCCAUGUUGGAGCUGCCUAUGUGGCAUGAAACUGAAGCAGGCCUCCAGCCAACAGCCAGCAAGAAACUGAGACCCUCAGUCCAACAGUCCACAGGGAUCUCAAUCUUGCCAACCACCAUGUGAGCCUGGAAAUAGAUCCUUGCCCAGUUGAACCUUAAGAUCACUACAUCGCAGCUGACACCUUGACUGCAAGUCUGUAAGAGACCCUGAAGUGCAGGAACUUGCUAAGCCUGCCCAGACUCUUGACCCACGGAAACUGUGAGACAAUACAUGUGGGUUGUUUUAAGUUUGGGGGGUCUCGCUCUGUUACCCAGACUGGAGUGCAGUGGCGCGAU